AUUGAACGCUGGCGGCAUGCCUUACACAUGCAAGUCGAACGGUAACGCGGGGGCAACCCUGGCGACGAGUGGCGAACGGGUGAGUAAUACAUCGGAACAUAUCCAGUAGCGGGGGAUAACCUAUCGAAAGAUUGGCUAAUACCGCAUACGAUCUACGGAUGAAAGCGGGGACCGCAAGGCCUCGCACUAUUGGAGUGGCCGAUGUCAGAUUAGCUAGUUGGUGGGGUAAAAGCCUACCAAGGCGACGAUCUGUAGCUGGUCUGAGAGGACGAUCAGCCACACUGGAACUGAGACAUGGUCCAGACUCCUACGGGAGGCAGCAGUGGGGAAUUUUGGACAAUGGGCGCAAGCCUGAUCCAGCCAUGCCGCGUGAGUGAAGAAGGCCUUCGGGUUGUAAAGCUCUUUCGGUGAAGACGAAACGGUUAGCGCUAAUAACGCUGACUAAUGACGGUACCCACAGAAGAAGCACCGGCUAACUACGUGCCAGCCGCCGCAGUAA
rnacentral:rRNA from 1 species